rnacentral:rRNA from 1 species
CCUACGGGAGGCAGCAGUGAGGAAUUUUCUGCAAUGGGCGAAAGCCUGACAGAGCAAUACCGCGUGAGGGAUGAAGGCCUACGGGUUGUAAACCUCUUUUCUCAAGGAGGAAGAUCUGACGUUACUUGAGGAAUAAGCAUCGGCUAACCCUGUGCCAGCAGCCGCGGUAAUACAGGGGAUGCAAGUGUUAUCCGGAAUUAUUGGGCGUAAAGCGUCUGCAGGUUGAUAUUUAAGUCUUUUGUUAAACCUCCGGGCUCAACCCGGAAUCUGCAAAGGAAACUAUAUAUCUUGAGUAUGGUAGGGGUAAAGGGAAUUUCCAGUGGAGCGGUGAAAUGCGUAGAUAUUGGAAAGAACACCAACAGCGAAGGCACUUUACUGGGCCAGUACUGACACUCAGAGACGAAAGCUAGGGGAGCAAACAGGAUUAGAUACCCUGGUAGUCCUAGCUGUAAACGAUGGAUACUAGAUGUUGUGUACCUUUGGGUAUGCAGUGUCGUAGCUAACGCGUUAAGUAUCCGCCUGGGAAGUAUGCUCGCAAGAGUGAAACUCAAAUGAAUUGACGG